AUGGGCCAUGUGCUGCGGCUUGUGAUCUGCUGUGCACUUACUUGUCUGGUUCAAACAUCGAUCGAUCAAAGCCCGCCGUUUAUUGUAGAAACCAUCAACUCGGAGGUCCAACUGGAGUGCAGGCAGGUAACCACAGAUCAUAACAGCAUGAACUGGUACCACCAAGGAGCCAGCCGGGAGCUGAAGCUCAUUGCCAAUAUUCUGAGGGGGAUGAGCCCCACCUAUGAGGAAGGCUACAAAAAUCAGUCACUCUAUGAGGUGGGGAGGAAAGACGGCGACAAGGACACCUACCUGAAGAUCAAGACACUUACAGCCAAAGACCAAGGAGUUUAUUACUGUGCAUCCAGUCCUGCACGGUGA